rnacentral:rRNA from 1 species
UACGAAGGGGGCUAGCGUUGCUCGGAAUCACUGGGCGUAAAGGGCGCGUAGGCGGCCGGACAAGUGGAAGGUGAAAUCCCCGAGCUCAACUCGGGAACUGCCCUCCAAACUGUUUGGCUUGAGUCCGGGAGAGGUGAGUGGAAUUCCCAGUGUAGCGGUGAAAUGCGUAGAUAUUGGGAGGAACACCAGUGGCGAAGGCGGCUCACUGGACCGGAACUGACGCUGAGGCGCGAAAGCGUGGGGAGCAAACGGG